rnacentral:tRNA from 1 species
GCAUUGGUGGUCCAGUGGUAAAAUUCUCACCUUCUACACAGGAGACAUGGGUUCGAAUCUCAGCCAAUGCA